rnacentral:rRNA from 1 species
GGGCCCGCACAAGCGGUGGAGCAUGUGGUUUAAUUCGAUGCAACGCGAAGAACCUUACCUACUCUUGACAUCCAGAGAAGCCAGCGGAGACGCAGGUGUGCCUUCGGGAACUCUGAGACAGGUGCUGCAUGGCUGUCGUCAGCUCGUGUUGUGAAAUGUUGGUUAAGUCCCGCAACGAGCGCAACCCUUGUCCUUGUUUGCCAGCGAGUAAUGUCGGGAACUCCAGGGAGACUGCCGGUGAUAAACCGGAGGAAGGUGGGGACGACGUCAAGUCAUCAUGGCCCUUACGAGUAGGGCUACACACGUGCUACAAUGGCGCAUACAAGGACAGGCAGCAUAGCGAUAGUGAG